UUUCAAUUGAUAUUUCAAAAUGUCUCUACAUUUUCAUUGUGCUUUCACAGUAACACUGCUGUACUUUUCUUUGUUAAAUGCUACACCGUUUUUCCAAGACUAUGAAGACCCGGUCACAGCAAAGAGGUUCGCGGAGUUCAACUGCUA